CCUAGAUGAAGAUAUGUGUAGGUUCCCAUGCAAAUACAUCAUUUUACGUGAGGGACUUGAGUAUUGUCAGAUUUUGGUAUCUGCAAGGGGCCCUGGAACCCAUCUCUCAUAGGUACUGGGGAUGGUUAUUCUGUCACACACCUGAGUCAACACAUGCUCAUAAGUUUCCUUUGUCCUAUUUGAGAUCAUGACACUUACUUAAUGUUUGAUUAUGUGCUUGGGAAAUGCCUUCUAGACCAGUGCUUCUCAAACUUCAAUGUGCCUAGGAAUCCCACAAGAACCUUAUUGAGAAUUCAGACUCUGGUGCAGUAGGUCUGGGCUGGGGCUGAGAAUUGGCAUUCCUCAGCUCUCCCACAUGAUGCUAAUGCUGCUGGCCUUCAAUCCAGAUGUGAGAGGAGGGUAAGGUAACUCUAUGGGAGUCAGGAUCUUCUCCUUGCUCUCUACUCCCCUGAACCGUGCCCGGCCCGUAGCAGUGCACAGUCAAUAUUUACCACAUCAUCACCCAUCAGACUUGGCCCACUUCUCCAUCUGGCCCAUCUGACACUGUGUGGGUCGUGGGUGCCUGACAUUCCUAGUGUCAGGAUCCCAGGGAGGAAAACUGUCUGGGGGGAAAAAAAAAAAAGCCAAGUAGAAAAAGUGGCCCAGCCAACCUGUUGAGAUUAAGGGGCGGCUUUGCCAAUAAUAGGGCAAAGACAAAUCUCCCAAUCAGAAUUCUAACAAUUUGUG
rnacentral:lncRNA from 1 species